UGCGGGUAUAGUUUAGUGGUAAAAUUAGCCUUCCAAGCUAACGAUUGCGG
rnacentral:tRNA from 1 species